NUCUAAUGCAGGUGCUUUUUAUGUUAAUGGACUUAUUUCACUUAACUAUAAUAGAUCAUUAUUAUUUGGUGAUGCUGUAUUGUGUAGAAUCAAUUCGCAAUGCAGACAAAGGAAUACAUAUGUUCCUAGAUCUUUAUUUGACAUAUGUUUAAGAAACAUUUGUAAGCCUUACUUUAUUAAAUUAUGGACUUAUGUGGAUUGUCAUCAACACUUACCUAAGAUUGGUUAAUAUUGUAGAAUUUCUUGAGGAACUAUGUCUGUGGACCAGAUAAUCAUCAAACGGAUAUUAGGACGCAAGCUGAGGAACGACCUAUUAUUCAGGAAGGACCGGAUGACUCCAAUUCCGAUGUUCUCUGAAAAAGAUGUUAAUUAUCCAUUUAUGAUAGUUCACAAUUUGGUGAUAGAUUUGGAUCUAGUAAAGGAUUUGGAUUUGGACAUUUAUUUACGAUUGAAACAACUUUUCGUUCCAAGAGUGAAAGCUCCCUUCUGCUGUGAGUUUCGUGCUAUGCUUCAGCCUUUUCUGCACUCCUGUGUGGUCGGUGGCUGCAUGGAUGCCGUGGAUUGCAUCUUCCAAUCUGAAGAUUGGUUUGCAGGGCCGCGACAGCCCAUACGUUUCCCCGAGGACGGGCAACUUCCGAAUGGACGACCUAAGACAGGGGACCGUACUUGUCGCUUUGAUACAUCGGCACCAUCAGUACCAUCGGCGCCUCCGUAUCAAGGGGGUGGAAUGACAGGAGUAAACAUCAAGGAUGAACAAACAACAUGAAUCAGCAAAAGGACUUGUUUUGGACUUGUUUUGGACUUUGCAGUGACUAAGUAACUUUUUAGUUGUAAACAUGUUUUGGUUAUAGGAUGACUAGAUAGUAUGCCCAUGUUAGAUAAGUUGAUGAUGUAACUAGGUAGUGUGCUUAUGUUAGAUAAGUUAGACAUAAACAAGUUUGUUGUAAACAUAUAGAGUAUAUAAGCGCGAGGGAAACUCCAUGUAUUUGCUCACAAUCAACUCUCAUCGCCUGAGAGUAAGAUCGUGCAGUGUGAGCCAGUCACCUCGUGUAUUGCUUUGUGUGGUGUGCGAAUAAACCAGCAUUUCAAAAGGCAAUCGAGUUCGUGCUUGGUGUUCGCGUACGUCG
rnacentral:lncRNA from 1 species